rnacentral:lncRNA from 1 species
CUCCCAUUCUUUUUAACAUUGCACUAAGGUUACCUUAGUGACUUACGAUCACCUUAGUGCCUUUGUGAAAGAAGGCCCAGAUCGACAUCUUCAAUUCUCACUG